AGUUAUGGUUGCUGGCAAGGUUAAGGACGAAAAGUCCGGAGCCGAAGGGAAACCGAGUCUUAAUAGGGCGCCAAGUCAGCAGACAUAGACCCGAAACCGGGUGACCUACCCAUGUCCAGGUUGAAGCCGCUGUAAAAGGCGGUGGAGGACCGAACGCACAUCUGUUGAAAAAGGUGGCGAUGAGGUGUGGGUAGCGGAGAAAUUCCAAUCGAACUCGGAGAUAGCUGGUUCUCCCCGAAAUAGCUUUAGGGCUAGCCUUGAGUUAGACAUAUGGAGGUAGAGCACUGAAUGGCCGCGGGGGCGUCAAAGCUUACCAAAGCCUAUCAAACUCCGAAUGCCAUGUUGCCGAUGCUCAGGAGUCAGACUGCACGAGAUAAGUUGGGUAGUCGAGAGGGAAACAGCCCAGACCUACAGCUAAGGUCCCAAAGUACAUGUUAAGUGGAAAAGGAUGUGGGACUUCGAAGACAACUAGGAUGUUGGCUCAGAAGCAGCCAUACAUUCAAAGAGUGCGUAAUAGCUCACUAGUCG
rnacentral:rRNA from 1 species